rfam:Ictidomys tridecemlineatus contig104304, whole genome shotgun sequence.
GGGAAUGUAGCUCAGUGGUAGAGUGCUUGUUUUUCAUGUGGGAGGUCCUAGGUUCAAUCCCUAGCUCCA